rnacentral:lncRNA from 1 species
GCGUUUCUGGCCCUGCCAGUGUCUCCGCCGGUUGAAAGCGCGUGUCUGCGUCGGGUUCUGUUGGAGUGCGUUCGGUGCGCCGUGGGUCCGCGCUGCUUCCACCCAACUUCCUGUUAGUUUCUCUCCUGUCACAAUGGCAUGAUCUCGGCUCACUGCGACCUCUGCUUCCUGGGUUCAAGGAUUCUCCUGCCUCAGCCUCCCAAGUAGCUGGGAUUACAGGAAUCUCACCAGUGACACGCGUUUGUGAAAAGCUGUGAAUAUUCAGUGCCACAGGGUUAAACCUCGGUACAGAAGCGAGACCCUGCUGGGCAGAGAAAGGGUGACCUGGAAGGUGUGUGAGGGCCCCGCCCAUGGGCCCCUGUGAUGGUCAUGGCCUCAAGAAUCACAGUCCAGUUUCCAUCAUUAUCUUCUAUGGAGUUCUUCAUUCCCACAUCUGUGGACCUUAAAAUCCUACCGUUGAGUGCCUGCCUUGGAUCAGCAGUCAGUUCGUUACCUUGGUUCUCAGACGAUGCUUGCAACAACGCCAUGCGAUUCGCCCACUCUUGGAGAAAAUAAGAGAAGUAUCCCUGAAGGAUGAAAUAUCCUCGAAUAUGAAAAGGUCUGCUCUCUGAAGACCAACUGUCUCAGUCUGCUUUUUGCUGCUGUAACAGAAUACCACAGACUUGGUUACAUUAGUUAUACACUCUGGAGGUGACUUGACCUGUCAUUGUGAACAAUUAUUGCUCUUGGACGACCCAGGACAUAGGCCAGCCAGUACGUACCCCAGUGUGUUGGAGAAUCGCGCUCGGCUUCUUCCUCUGUGCUGAGUCAUGAAAGUUGCCGGAGCAGGUGCAGUUACACAACCUCCAGGUAUGAUCCUGUUUAAGGACUGGAUUUAGGAUAACUACUUAGAGGUUAAAAGUCACAAGGGUGUAUGGAUGAGGCUGGAGUGAUCUGGGACCAAAGACAUCUAGGCUUGCUGUCAAGGCUUCUGAUCAACAUGAGAUGACCGCCGUGUGGUAAACUGAUGAACCCUGACCCUGAUCAACAUGAGAUGACCGCCGUGUGGUAAACUGAUGAACCCCGACCCUGAUGAACGUGAGAUGACCGCCGUGUGGUAAACUGAUGAACCCCGACCCUGAUGAACGUGAGAUGACCGCCGUGUGGUAAACUGAUGAACCCCGACCCUGAUGAACGUGAGAUGACCGCCGUGUGGUAAACUGAUGAACCCCGACCCUGAUGAACGUGAGAUGACCGCCGUGUGGUAAACUGAUGAACCCCGACCCUGAUCAACGUGAGAUGACCGCCGUGUGGUAAACUGAUGAACCCCGACCCUGAUGAACAUGAGAUGACCGCCGUGUGGUAAACUGAUGAACCCCGACCCUGAUCAACAUGAGAUGACCGCCGUGUGGUAAACUGAUGAACCCCGACCCUGAUCAACAUGAGAUGACUGCCGUGUGGUAAACUGAUGAACCCUGACCCAUUAGGCUUUGGCUACAGAAUGUGGAAAUAAGUUGUGUUACUACAUGUGUGUAAUCCUAGGGUGCAGGACACCGGCCGGGAGGUUCCAUAGAGUGAUGGGUUCUGCAGGUAACUCAUCCUCUAGUCCUCUGUAAGCUCCUAGAAGGAAGAAAUUAUGUCCUUUAGACUAAUAAAAUUCCUCCAAACCAAAUACAGCACCUACUGUGAAGACACAAAGAUACUUUUAGAAUAGUAAAAACUUUAUCCAUUGAGAAAUUCCUUAAUGAAACAGUAUCCAAGAAGUCAUUUGCCAGCAGAUUUCUUAGAGGUGCGAUAAAGAAGAGGACAUUGCCAGUCGUCACAGCAGCUGCAAUAGCUCCUCUCUAUUGUUAAACAGUGGGAUAUCUUGUGCAGGUUUUCAGUUGACAAUCAAUUUUAAAGAUUAGUUUCGGUCCCCAUCAAUCAAUUAUUUAUUAACCCAUCAAUAAAAAUUUAAAUGCUCUGUGAGG